rnacentral:rRNA from 1 species
UCGGAGGCAGCAGUGAGGAAUAUUGGUCAAUGGACGAAAGUCUGAACCAGCCAUGCCGCGUGGAGGAUGAAGGUCCUCUGGAUUGUAAACUUCUUUUAUAUGGGACGAAAAAGGGCCUUUCCAGGUCAACUGGCGGUACCAUAUGAAUAAGCACCGGCUAACUCCGUGCCAGCAGCCGCGGUAAUACGGAGGGUGCAAGCGUUAUCCGGAUUCACUGGGUUUAAAGGGUGCGUAGGUGGGUCGGUAAGUCAGUGGUGAAAUCCCCGAGCUUAACUUGGGAACUGCCAUUGAUACUAUCGAUCUUGAAUACUGUGGAGGUCAGCGGAAUAUGUCAUGUAGCGGUGAAAUGCUUAGAUAUGACAUAGAACACCAAUUGCGAAGGCAGCUGGCUACACAAAUAUUGACACUGAGGCACGAAAGCGUGGGGAUCAAACAGGAUUAGAUACCCGUGUAC